AGGUUGAAGCUGAGAGCACUGUUCAAUUAUCCUCCAUUUGCUGAACAGAGCUGUGGCUGGAAAACAAAGCAAAACCAAGAAACCAUAAAUGCCAGAUCUGGUAAAAAUCUAUUUCUGCGUUUUUUUCAUGCUAUGAUCUGUUUUCUUAUACCUCUGUGGGCAGUAUCACAAUUUGCCAUUGGUUCUGAGCCUUUUUUUUUUUUUUAAUUGCAAAUUUACUG
rnacentral:lncRNA from 1 species